CUGGAGGUCGUGCUCAAGAUCGAG
rnacentral:piRNA from 1 species